UGCAGCUGUGUCAAAUUCAGUGCUGUCCUAAUGAUGGCAAGCACUGGCCCAGAAGGCUGCCAUAGAAACUCUGUGACUCCUGAGCCCUGUUCCCCGUGCUAGGUUCAGGGAUAAAUUUAGUCACAGACAUCA